GAUGAACGCUGGCGGCGUGCCUAAUACAUGCAAGUAGAACGCUGAAGGAGGAGCUUGCUCUUCUGGAUGAGUUGCGAACGGGUGAGUAACGCGUAGGUAACCUGCCUGGUAGCGGGGGAUAACUAUUGGAAACGAUAGCUAAUACCGCAUGACAACAGUUAUUGCAUGAUAACUGUUUAAAAGGGGCAACUGCUCCACUACCAGAUGGACCUGCGUUGUAUUAGCUAGUUGGUGAGGUAACGGCUCACCAAGGCGACGAUACAUAGCCGACCUGAGAGGGUGAUCGGCCACACUGGGACUGAGACACGGCCCAGACUCCUACGGGAGGCAGCAGUAGGGAAUCUUCGGCAAUGGACGGAAGUCUGACCGAGCAACGCCGCGUGAGUGAAGAAGGUUUUCGGAUCGUAAAGCUCUGUUGUAAGAGAAGAACGAGUGUGAGAGUGGAAAGUUCACACUGUGACGUUAUCUUACCAGAAAGGGACGGCUAACUACGUG
rnacentral:rRNA from 1 species